rnacentral:rRNA from 1 species
UACGUAGGGUGCAAGCGUUGUCCGGAAUUAUUGGGCGUAAAGAGCUCGUAGGCGGUCUGUCGCGUCGGCUGUGAAAACCUGAGGCUCAACCUCAGGCCUGCAGUCGAUACGGGCGGACUUGAGUACUGCAGGGGAGACUGGAAUUCCUGGUGUAGCGGUGAAAUGCGCAGAUAUCAGGAGGAACACCGGUGGCGAAGGCGGGUCUCUGGGCCGAAAUUGACGCUGAGGAGCGAAAGCGUGGGGAGCAAACAGG